AACGUAGGAGCCUAGCGUUAUCCGAAUUUACUGGGCGUAAAGCGCGUGUAGGCGGUUAGGUAAGUUGGCUGUGAAAUCUCCCGGCUCAACUGGGAGAGGCCGGUCAAGACUGCCUGGCUGGAGGAUGGUAGAGGGAGGUGGAAUUCCCGGUGUAGUGGUGAAAUGCGUAGAUAUCGGGAGGAACACCAGUGGCGAAAGCGGCCUCCUGGACCAUACCUGACGCUCAGACGCGAAAGCUAGGGGAGUGAACGGGAUUAGAUACCCCGGUAGUCC
rnacentral:rRNA from 1 species